GCACAAGUGAUUACUUAUCUCGAGGACAAAGGCUUUCUGCACGAGUAGACCGUGACGGAAGCCAUGAGCCUGUUGUCAUGCUAGAGGGUAUUUCCACCAGAUUAGCGGCGCGGCAGAAUAAGUCAAGCGCUGGCAGUGUUUUUUUGCCGUGCUUGUUCAGAUUUAUGUGUUUAAUUGUGUGCGUUGAUCUGUCUACUCGUAGUUUCUGUGUUUGUUAACUUCUGUUAGCUGCGCCAGGAAAAUGUAGUGUGUAAAUUGCAAUGGCAUCCAGAGCAGGGUAGUAGGAGUUUGUUGCUUGCUAAUUUAUUCGCCCUGCAACUUGUGCUGUUUCCUGGUUGUUGCGAUGAGGUACAAGAGUGUUAUGCUGACCAUUUCAAUUUCCAAUUAUUGAGAGCCGUCUGCCUUGUUGCUUGCAGCACAUACCAAAACAAUUGUA
rnacentral:lncRNA from 1 species